AAUGGUCUAACGACUGAACCAGCAAUUUGGAAGAACGUAUAAUAAAUAAAUUAUUUAAAGUUCUAGAUAAAAUAUUUAUAAUGACUAUUUUUUAUCUAUAAGUCUUGGCCAAAUUACGUGCCAGCAGUCGCGGUAAUACGUAAAAGACGAGUGUUAUUCAUCUUUAAUCGGUUUAAAGGGUACCUAGACGGAAAAUCAAGCUUAAUUAAACUAAGGACUAGUUUUCUAGAGUUUGACAUGAGAAGGUACGAACUAUCAGAGGAGAGAUAAAAUUUGUUGAUACUGGUGGGACGGACAACGGCGAAGGCAAUCUUCUACUAAAAACUGACGUUGAGGGACGAAGCCUUGGGGAGCGAGAAGGAUUAGAUACCCUAGUAGUCCUUGGAGAAAAUUAUGAGUGCCAUAGACUAAAGUGAAAAAGAAGUUCUUUUAAAAGAACUUUGUAUCUGAGCCUUAAUUGGAUACAAAGGUCUGGAGUAGCAGUUUAUAAAUGAAAGUGUAAGCAUUCCACCUCAUGACUAAAGCGGCAACGCCCAAAUUGAAAUCAUUAGACCGUUUCUGAAACCAGUAGUGAAGUAUGUUAUUUAAUUCGAUAACCCGCGAAUAACCUUACCACGUUUUGAAUUUAUUAAACAAGUGUUGCACGGCUGUCUUCAGUUAAUGUCGUGAGAUUUUGGUUUGUUCCAUUAAUUAACGAAAACCCUUGUUUCAUUUUUAUAUGAAAUAGUUCACCGUUAUAUUGGAAAGAUAAAAGGGAUCAAGACAAGUCAUCAUGGCCUUAAUAACG
rnacentral:rRNA from 1 species